UACGUAGGCAGCGAGCGUUGUUCGGAAUUACUGGGCGUAAAGAGUGUGUAGGCGGUGCUCUAAGUUCGGUGUGAAAUCUCCUGGCUCAACUGGGAGGGUGCGCCGGAAACUGGAGUGCUUGAGCGUGGGAGAGGAAAGCGGAAUUCCUGGUGUAGCGGUGAAAUGCGUAGAUAUCAGGAGGAACACCUGUGGCGAAAGCGGCGCACUGGACCACAACUGACGCUGAGGCGCGAAAGCUAGGGGAGCAAACAGG
rnacentral:rRNA from 1 species